GCACAGGAGCAGAGGCCGGGACCUGGCGGCCGGUGCGGGGAGAGGGCAGCCUCCAGCACACUGGAGGGGACACCAGCUGGAGCAUGGGUCCCAAGGAUGAGGCCGGGGGCUUCCCUAAGAAGCACGGGCUGAAAGGGAGCUCAUCGGUGUUUCCAUCAGCUGGACGGCCCACCACCUCAGGGAGCUGCUUCCCAAAGAGCACCGCUCCAGGACCUGGUUCUGUUUUGUGUCCUGUUAAUCCAGCAGGUGAGGAAGGCAGGGCCACCAUCCCAGCUGACACACACAAGGCUGAAGGUCCCGGGGUGGCGGGGGCAGGGGAGGCCAAGGCCACAGGGCGGGGACCUGGGGCCAGAGCCCAAUCUUGCUAACGCUUCACGUGACCCGGGCGAUCUUUGCACACGUGGGUCAACUCUUCCACCUGUUAAACAGGGACACAAGAGAGCUGAGAGUGCAAACUGAGCUGGUGUUAACAACGCCUAGUGGAGAUGAAAGACCUAUGCAAACGCGAGGUGUUAUUAGCUUACACAGGAACCUUCCUGUUUUGUUUUUAAUUAUGAAGUACCAUUACCACCAUUUUUUGUUUCCAUAACAUCUUGCUUUAUGAGUUUUAAAGUUAUUUCCAAACAUCAGGACAAUCAUGAAGUGAGUAGGUUAACACAGCUUUAUUUCAACAUAUUGAGAAUAUAGUGAGAUACAGAGAAUUUCACUGAUUUUCUUAAAAGUCAAAAAUACGAUCUAAAGUUCAGAUUCGUUAUUAUCUUCAAUGGAAUACUCCCUACGAG
rnacentral:lncRNA from 1 species